rnacentral:rRNA from 1 species
UUCUCUCCUUGGACUUCGGUUCAGGGAGGAAAGCGAUACCGAGGGUAUCGCGCUCUUGGAUGGGCUCAUGUCCUAUCAGCUUGUUGGUGAGGUAACGGCUCACCAAGGCUUCGACGGGUAGCUGGUCUGAGAGGACGAUCAGCCACACUGGCACUGCGACACGGGCCAGACUCCUACGGGAGGCAGCAGUAAGGAAUAUUGCGCAAUGGGCGAAAGCCUGACGCAGCGACGCCGCGUGGGGGAUGAAGGUCUUCGGAUUGUAAACCCCUUUCGGGAGGGAAGAUGGAAUGGGGUAACCCAUUCGGACGGUACCUCCAGAAGCAGCCACGGCUAACUUCGUGCCAGCAGCCGCGGUAAUACGAAGGUGGCAAGCGUUAUUCGGAUUUACUGGGCGUACAGGGAGCGUAGGCGGUUCGGUAAGCCCUCUGUGAAAUCUUCAGGCUUAACCUGGAAAAGUCGGAGGGGACUGCCGGGCUAUAGGACGGGAGAAGAG